GCACAACAAUGAACGUUCGAUAAGUGAAUCUUAUGUCAAAGGUUUGGUACCAGUGGCAAAGGAAAUCGAAGACAAGAAAUGCUGUUACAGUGAAAAAUAAGAAUUACUUUCGUUUAUUAACGGCCGAACUAUUAAAUAGUGAACAAAAUCUUUAUGAAGUGAUCGAAGAAACGACUACUGUUAUAAGAAUAGCAUAUCAUGAUGAAUGUGUGGAGAAAUGGAACAAAGGUGAAGUGGUGUUGAGAAAAAAUUCUUUAUGUAAAAGUAUUUAUAAAGAGCACUGUUUGACAUUCAGUCAACUGUUGUAGAACAUUGUACACAACUGGUGCACAUGUUGAGUAGAUCAUGUCUUACUUAUUUUUCAAUAGUGUAGUAAGUGUACUUCAUAAAAUGUGUAACAGUAUGUAAGGAACAAGAACGUGUCUUUAGCAUUGUAAGUUCAAUGUAAUUAAAGGAUUUUUGAAAGCGUGUGAAAA